rnacentral:lncRNA from 1 species
CUCAUCGGAGCAAAUUUAGAAAACUAUAUAAACAGUGCCUCUUUGGUCAUAGCUGAACAAUGUGUAGGAAUGGAAGCUACAAUCGGAUGCAGGAGGCUCUAAGCAUUCUGACUAAAAUUACAUGACUGCCUUGGGCCAGAGGAGAGGGGAUGGAGGAGGAGUGGAUACAAGUGCUCUUGACUCAUAGUCCCUACCCCCUACAUAUUGCACAGACAGCUUUGUUACCACAAGGCAGAAAGCCACGAAAAGAACCAUUCCUUGAGUGCUUCAAGGUUGUGCCUCUGACUACUGUUUUAUACAGUUUGAAAUGGACAGACAUUAAAAACAACACGGAGACCAUUCUUGGAGUUUGAAGGUCAGCAUCACAGUCAAAACUCACAACUGAUUUCCAGAAGAUGGAAAUGCUUUCUUUCCUGCAGGGUGCUGGAUGAAAGGACUUGGAAGGUGAGGCCCCUACUACAAAAUAUGCAAAUAUGGAAUGCUUUCAACACAAGCUCCAAUGCCAAUAAAGGAUCCUUGGCUUUCAGAUUCAAUUAAUUCAACUAAAUCAAAGCAGUAAAUAUUAUCUAAGCUGAAGAUUGCUUCUGCUUCAUUUAGGGAAAACAAGUAUUUACUAAACAAAUGGAUAAGAACACAAGAUGAGAAGCCUCUACGUUAUCUCCUUCAGUAAAUAAAUACAAUUUGACAUGCAAAUCGUAACCUUUCUUGUUUUUUUUUCUAGAGAACUUUUUUUCUUGGCUAGAAUAGGCUUUUUAGGAAUUUGGAUCAGUCUAGCUUGUUGUCCGGCAAAAAUGAGUAUAUUCUAAGUUCCAUUUUCCAGCGGGGCUCCGACCCUUUCAUUCUAGCUGAGGUACAUCCAAAUCCACGAUAGUUUUUACAAUCAUGGUAGGCAUCUCUGUGUGGGACCUCUAUAUUAAUUUCUUUAUUGCACUUCCUCUAGCCAUUUGAAUGUUUGUUCCUUUGUUUUAGUUGACUAUCUUGUGUCAAAUGAAUGAUGUGACGUCACUUAGUGCAUGUAAAUGCUAAUCUACUUUGAGAUGUUAAAUUCAAGUCCCUUAAAAAGGUC